UUGAAAGGGAAACGAUUGAAGUCAGUCGUACCAGCGGGAAAUCAACCUUUCGAGUGGGGGUUUGGAGUUUUGAAGAGUGUCAAAACCUUUGAGAUUUCAAAAUAUUCGCUCUUUUGGUGUACUUUCUCGUGGGUAGGUUAACAUCGAUUUUGAUCAUCAUAAAAAGAUUGGAGGAAUGUAGCUUCGAUCUUGUAUUGAAGUGUUAUAGCCUUUGGUAAAUGUGAUGAUUAGGAUCGAGGAUUGCAACGAAUACCCUUUUGGGCUAUCCGCCUGAUCUCUGAUACGUGGCCUUGGUAUCGAAAGCGUGCUUAUGGUAUUGAGGUAUUACGGUCAAAAGGUUAGAACGGAUUACAUUCGUUAAGGAUGUUGACGUA
rnacentral:rRNA from 1 species